rnacentral:lncRNA from 1 species
AAUAAGAACAGUAUCUUAAACAGGAUUAAAAUAUAACAUUUUUACUAGUUAUUUCAAAGAAUAGAUUUUUUUUUCUUCUGUCAUUCUUCUCUAUAUGUUCAGACUCCAGCUAAACUCCAAAAAGCAAUGUUUUGUUAAGUAACAAGUGCAAAUAUUGUCUUUUUUUUUCCUUUCCCUUGCAUGGUAGGCUACAUUGCAUUUCUCAUGCCUAAAAACAAGCACCGUCUCUCAAAAUAUUUGGUCGGAAACCUCAGCUUGAAAAGGAGGUAUUUGACAGAAAGGUUACAUUCCAUUGGCGUGGCAUGCGAACAGCUUCUACAGACAAACAUUGGAGGAAUCUCAUGGAGAACCUGUGCAAAGGGAAAGCAAACACAAUCACAGGAGCAGAAGUCCACUUCCUGCCAGAGCAGAACCAACAGCCAUGACCACCCAAGAUCUCGUGGUGGAACUUCAACGAUAGCAACAGCAGACGAAUGAGGAAUGCCAAUCACCUCCUUACUAAUUGUACACAUUUACCUGUCAACUCUUUGUAUCUUGUGAGAUGUAUUCGUAUCGUUCUCAAAACUAAUUUCAUCUUAUCCUGAAAAAAAAGUUUGCGUAAUACAAGAGGACACUUUUGUUAUGUGACCAUGUAUCUUCUUUUUCCUCCAUCACAUUGGAGAAGAGGACUUUGCUCUGUGCUGCUACCGUCUUUUCGGUAUUGGUGACUAGGAACAGUGGCAUUCCUCAGCUCCUUAUUCAAGUUGUAACACAACACACUCACUACUUCAAAGUACAAAAAGAAAUCAUAAGCAGGUCCCAAAAUUUAUGUAGAGUAUUUUACAAGUAAUGCUUACUUGAAGUUUUUUGAAACAAUUCUGUCUGUGUGUUCUGACACCCUUUGCCCUUCACAGACCCGUUUAUGCAUAUUAGCCUCGUAAAAGAGUCACUUUUUAUCCUCUUCACCAUGAUCCAUUUGUCUUUUCAGCAGGUUUAUGUUCAACACUCUGGGAGUGGAAUGGUGAUUGUACCAUUUAACCCAACAGCUAGCUGGGCUUGAAAGUGUAUCCAUCCCCUUCCUAUUAAUUACUCAUUAAUGCCUAUUUCUAUCACACAGACUCGUGUAUCACCCUGGUUUAUUUCGGAGGAAUAUAGCCAUAGGAUGACAAUUAUUGAUGGAGCAUAAAAACCAGAGCUAAAGACCGUAUAAAAAGGAAAACCGAACUGAUGUGGGAAGAGAUGAAAAGAUGAAAAAUUGCUUAGAGAAGAAAAUCAGAAUGAGCUAAUUUACAAAAGAAAACGAACAAAUCACGGCUAGGUAACUCUGAAUAAGAUUAAUUGCUACACAUCUCCUUCCUCUUUGCAAUUUUUAUCUUAUUUAAUCUUCUAUUCCACUUUUCUAUUUAACAGUGCUAUACUCUUAUAAACUCCAAUUCCACUCUUAUGCAAGUUUGCUCUCUGGGUGUUGAGCGAGAUCCUCUGUUUGCAUAAACUGGUAUAACACUAUCAGCUUUGGUAUUGUUACUCAAAUUUAAGCCAGUCGAGGAUUUGCUCCAUUGACUUUCAUGGAUUUAUUUUUAAUUUAUUACUCUGAGUUCAGAAUCAAGAGCUUUGGAUAUAAAUCUUGAACAUAAAUAGACAAUUUCCAUAUCUAAACAGUAUAGCCACAAGUACCGUACAGAAAAACAAGCUGGGCAUGUCUGAAAAGUUCAUGUCUGAAAAGUUAAGCAAAUGUUGCUGUGCGUUUAUUAGUAGUUUACUGUUUAUUAAACAAUAAAUCAAGAUCCAAAAAAACCUAAUUAAUUUAA